ensembl:lncRNA CADM3-AS1 CADM3 antisense RNA 1
GGGUACAGACUAUGGGAAAAAAUAGGUGGUGGUAGGUCUUUCCAGGGUCAACGCCAAGGAGAGGCCUGAGAGGUGCAUAGCAAAGGCUGUGGCACUGACUCCAUGGCUCAGAGGAGGGAAAUCCAGGGAAGGGCUGAAUGCUCUGUGUUUAAGGGAGAGAUAGAAUGGACAGCUGGGCAAACACACACCCGGGGACUCCUUUCUCCAAGACCGAUGGGCAUUGGGGGUGGCAGAGGAAAUACCAGCAUGGAACAACAUCCCAGGGACCCGCGUCCUCCCCAGGUUACAGUCCUGGGUCCCUGCAUGGCUGCAUGUUGUCUGCAGGCCACAUCUCCUCAGGACUCCCGCACUCAUCACUUUCCCAUUGCUAUGGAAGAGAGGUGUCAAGGUGGCACCUGCCUCCCUGUCCGUAGUGCUCAGGUGUGUGGCUACCAGAGGAAAAGCCACUCCCAACCUUUGCCGACAACCAUCCCGUUUCUGGGUUCCUGGAGAAGUCUGGGAAGCUGCUCUGUUGUAGAGGCUGAAAGGAGGGCUGGUGAGAGCCCCCAGCUGAAACCAGCCCUGCCCCUUACCCUUCCUCACCCCUCUACCUUCACUCUCCUCCUAACACUCCAGGGUUUUGUUUUUUGUUUGUUUUUUGCUUUUCUCACCCCAGGGCUCCUGCCUCUCCAGCCUGGAGACAGAUUUGAUUUGGGAUUGUUACAAAAAUAAUAAUAACCCAAAUGCAGAGAAGCCACGGAAAGGGCUGAGGGCAACCCUCCCCUCCCCCCGCCCUCCUCCCUCCCCAUUCCAAACCGAGUACAAAACCGCACCCAAAGCAGACAUUCUGUACAGGGGGGUGGGUGGGCUGGGGAGCAAGCGGGAGGGGCGGCCCUGCGGUUGCUCUGUACAAGUCCGGGUUGGUGACGGCCCCAGCAGUCCCCACAGGGCCCCUGGGGGGCGCAGGAAGUGGGCAGGCGCCUCUAGAUGAAAUAUUCCUUCUUGUCGUCCCCUCCUGACUGCCCGCCUUCUGCAUUGAUGAUGGCCGUGUCCGCGUCUGGAGCAUCGUCGGAGCCUUUUGCCUCAUGUGUCAGUAGUGGCCAAGGAAGAUGAGCAUGAUGAGCAGCAGGAAGACAAUGAAAGCCACGAUCCCACCGAUGAUGGCGUGUCCCGCCCACUUAAGGAUAUUCCUGGAAGAAGAUGCAGUAGCUCCUUCUACCACCAGGCGUCAGCACUGGAAACAGACGCAGUCCAACAGGACUCCCUCUGCCUGGCUGUUGAGCACAAAGCAGAGGGGAGAUCAGCAAGAUACCAACCACAAGGGCACAAGAACUUUCUCUCACUGCCAAUCAUCAUCAGAUUGGUCUGGAGAGAUCUGGGGGCAGAGACCGGAGCUCAGUGCAUUGUCCUUGCUCUUGGCAUCCUACAAUAGCCUUGUUGUGCUGAGGCAGCUCCCACAUGCUGAGGUCUGCCCCUGGAGUGGGAAUCACCCAUCCAGACAUUCUGAUCCCAAGAACUCAGACCUCUUAUCGCUGGGAGGCCUGGCUCUUAUCCCCUCAACUGUUUUAAUGAGUGUCUCAAGUAAGGGAGCCUCUGAUGUUUCCCCGACAAUGCAUUUCCCCUAUUCUGAGAAAAGAUAAGACUUUCUGGCGGGACCCACAGCCAUUGGGAUCUUCAAAAAAAUCGCCCGUCAACUCUCCAUAAAGGGGCCUCUGUGUCACCCUGUCACUACUCCUGAAGCUGGGUUUUGUGGUCACAGCUUUGAGAAGAACUUCAGAGAAGGAGCAUCACCUGGUCCUUCUAGAAGAUAUGGCAUCUGAGAAAAGAUUCUGUCUCUUGGCAUAGUACAAGCUUCUCUCUAUUUUCUGUCCAGACCCAGUACACUGUGCUUAAGGUGGGCAGAAAAAAAAAUGACAGCAGUUGCAUGCACCCAAUACCUAGUCUUAGGAGAAGCAACUCUGAGAAGAGCCAGUUAGAGAAGGAAAUGCACCUGCGCCUGCACUUGAGAGGCUUUGGGGCCUCUGCACACAGAAUUAUUGUUCUUGUUGUCAGACAAGUGCAGGGGAUGGAAGAUGGUGUCACCCAGGCCACCACUACCAAAGAAAGGCAGAUGAGAGCCCACCCUUCUAAUGUUUUUUCACUAAGCGGCCAUUACACAUUCUAGAGUGGACCUGGGACCUAAGCCCUCAGGGACCCCAGUGGUGGGCUGGUUUUCCUUUACUCCACUCCCCGUCACAGUUUGGGGAUGUUAUCAGGAAGCAUUUUAAAAAAGGGAAUAAGAUGGACAGAGAAAGGAGAUUCUGGAGGAAGAGAACUGAGGAGGGCUUACCAUUAACAUUGAGGGUGUAGUAGGCCUUGUAGCUGCCCAUGUUGCUGGUGGCUGUGCAGCCGUAGGUGCCACUGUCACUCUUGUUGAGGAAAGGGAAGAUCAGGGCACUCUCCUGGGUCAUCUUCAGGGGUGGCACACUGCCCUCCUUCUCCCAUAGGUACUGCUGGGGGCUGUCGAGGCAGACAAAUCAGAAGAGCUCAGGAGAGCAUAGGCCAGGGAGCUAAAAGAAAAAAAAAAAUAACUGGGAGCAGGGAUGUCAAGGACUGUUUGAUGAGGCUGGAGAAAUUAUCGGGGCCAGAGACACUGGAGCUGCUAUACGCCAGGUGGCCUCUUGGGGUUCGUUCUGGGGAAGCUGUAGAUCUCCAGACUUGUAUCUUACUUUAACUUGGCCUUUGUGGGAAACUCAGGGACUGAGUUAGGGAGUGGCCCCUUCCCAUUUGUGCUGCUUUGCAGAAGAACUAAUUGCAGGCGGACAUUAUUGGACAGUCAGGGAAAUGAGAGGCUCAGGUCAGACAAUACAGAGGAGAUAGGAAGGAGCUGUUAUGUGAAGAAGGCAAUCUGAGAAUGUGGAGAGUAAGGAGGAGACCAGGAAAUGGAUCUUCUUACACUGGAUUGCCGCGACCCUCACAGUGUAGCAACAGCUUCUGGCCCUCACGAGGAUGGGGAGGGUCUGGCCUAAUCAUCGCAGUUGGUGUGUCUGUGGAGAAGGAAAUGGUAUCAAUGAAUACCUCCCCACACGGCUUAGGAGAUUCCCUCACUUAGUUGCACACUACAGCUUCUACCUCUAAAUGUUUCCGCAGCUCAAGAAGUGCAACAAAGACCUUCCUUCUCCUACUUCUCAUGAACAAGGACCAUUAUUGCUAUUGAAUAUGUGAGCAACUUCUCUUGCAACCUUGUGUGAUAGGAUUCUGGAAGGUCUGUCCUUGGUGGGCCCUAAGAGAUGUCUUAACAGAAAGCUGAGAAGGGAAAUGAGUGGUUUACCUGUGCCUAGCAAACCUCCUAGCACAUAGGAAAGACCUAAUACAUAUUUUUUACAGAACAAAUAAAGUUGAACUUGUCACAUAUUGAGCUCACAACUUCUCAGUUCUCUCUGCUCUGCAAGGGAGCUUAGAACUGGAAGCAAUGCUUGAACACAAAACAUCAUUUUGAAUGGUCAGUGCAAACACGAAGUGAGAGCUUUGAAACAGCAAGAGACCAGGGUCAUAUUUUGGCUGCAAAAAGGCACUGACACAAUAUAGAAGGGCUCUGUGAAGGAAGAAUGGCAUCUGCCAUUGACGCCGAAGGGCUGCUUAGGAGGCUAGGUCCAGAUGGCCGCUCAGAACAAUACAACCAGAUGCUGGUCGAGAACAACAGAUAAAGAGGCUGAGCUUCCCCUAAGGAUAGAGCCAACUUUAACAACCAGUUAAUGAACGUGUUUCAGCCAAAUCAAAUGGGACAUAGAGAAUCAGGCCAGGUGAAAGAAUAGGCGUUCUGGGACCCCAUGGCCAUAGAAACCUCUAGCACAGUGCCUGGAGCAUAGCAUUUGUUGACUGACUGCUGAUCACAGUUGGGCUAAAAGGGUCCCUGGCGAGUAACUGCCAGAUGGUCUGGUAUCUAACAGAGGAGUCUUUGGGGCUCAGGCAGGGGACCAAGGCUUUAGCUCUGGCCAGGGACCAAGGGGCGGGGGGAAAAGCUCCAGGUCAGGGCCUCACACUAGGAACUAAUAAUCAGAGAAGCACCUUAUAGGAAUAUAGAACUUUGACAUUUACAAAGUUCUUUCACAUGCAUUGUUUUAUUUAUCCUCACAAUAACUCAGCAAAGUAAGCAGGAGCCACAGAAAGAUGAAAUGCUUUGGCCAAAGGAGCACAGCUAGUAAGCGGCAGCACUGCGGCUAGAGUCCGGAUUGUCGGCCUGUGGAUUGAGUCUGCCAAAUGAAUAGUGAUGCACCCUAAACCUACCUCAGGUUAAAGUUUGAGUAAUGGGUCUAAGAUAUGAUUAAAUAACACUGAAGUUAGGAAAAUAAUUGGGCCUAGGUCGACUCCACAAGAAGAGGAUGAAGGGCUUUGGUUAUUUUGAAAACUGCCCAACUUUUAGGUAAGUUAGGACAAGAAAUACACCAUUUCCUAACUCUAACUUCUCCCAUUGGACUUUAGCUGAUUCUUUUCCCUUUGGUUCCUCCACCCAGAGAGGCUGUUCUUUACAAAUUUCUGAAUUUCCUCAGAUGAGAAAUUCCCGUUUCCAAACUUCCUCAGAAGUGUCCUAACCAUACUAAAGGCAAAUUCCACAGAGGGUGUGAGUGUCCUGGGAAGGGCCAGGAGUAAUGACAGUGACAGUGGCCAUUUCAGGUCAGAAUCCCAGGAAAAUACAUGGAGCUGGGGCAAAUAGAAGAGCAGUCAGUAAGGAAAAGAUCUGGGAAUAAUGAUGCCAGGGAAACUGUGCUUUCCUACCACCCAUAUUUUCUUGAAAUCAUAAAUUGUUAAACCAAGAUAAAACUGUAGUGAUCCCCACGCUCAUCUCUUUCACUUAGCAAAUAUAGAAUCAAGCUCAGUGGGGUAAAGUAAUCUUCUGAAUAUCACACAGCUAGUAAGUGGUGGAGUGCAGACUAGAAACUACUUCCUGGGAAUCCUGAGUUACCACAGUUACGACAACAGUUUGCAGCCUGGCUACAUUAUACUGGCCUAGACCACGGGUUGGUAUCCCCUUGGACCAAAUCCUGCCACCUGCAUUCUUUUGUAAAUAAAGUUUUACUGGAACACA